rnacentral:rRNA from 1 species
UACGGAGUUAGCCGGUGCUUAUUCAUACUGUACCUUCAGCUACUUACACGUAAGUAGGUUUAUCCCAGUAUAAAAGAAGUUUACAACCCAUAGGGCCUUAGUCCUUCACGCGGGAUGGCUGGAUCAGGCUCUCACCCAUUGUCCAAUAUUCCUCACUGCUGCCUCCCGUAGGAGUCUGGUCCGUGUCUCAGUACCAGUGUGGGGGAUCACCCUCUCAGGCCCCCUAAAGAUCAUUGACUUGGUGAGCCGUUACCUCACCAACUAUCUAAUCUUGCGCGUGCCCAUCUCUAUCCACCGGAGUUUUCAAUAUAUUACGAUGCCGUAAAAUAUAUUAUGGGAUAUUAAUCUUCCUUUCGAAAGGCUAUCCCCCAGAUAAAGGCAGGUUGCACACGUGUUCCGCACCCGUGCGCCGCUCUCAAAGAUCCGAAGAUCUUCUACCGCUCGGCUUGCAUGUGUUAGGCCUCCCGCUAGCGUUCAUCCUGAGCCAGGAUCAAACUCU